AUUGAACGCUGGCGGCAGGCCUAACACAUGCAAGUUGAGCGGAGCGGCGGACGGGUGAGUAAUGCCUAGGAAUCUGCCUGGUAGUGGGGGAUAACGUCCGGCACCGGGCGCUAAUACCGCAUCAUAAGCGUUGAGCCUAGGUCGGAUUAGCUAGUGGGUGGGGUAAAGGCCUACCAAGGCGACGAUCCGUAACUGAUCUGAGAGGAUGAUCAGUCACACUGGAACUGAGACACGGUCCAGACGCCUACGGGCGACAGCAGUGGGGAAUAUUGGACAAUGGGCGAAAGCAUGAUCCAGCCAUGCCGCGUGUGUGAAGAAGGUCUUCGGAUUGUAAGGCACUAUAAGUUGGGAGGCAUUACCAACAGAAUAAGCACCGGCUAACUUCGGGCCAGCAGCCGCGGUAAUAC
rnacentral:rRNA from 1 species